rnacentral:rRNA from 1 species
UUAAUACUUCACGGCGUUAAGGGUGAUUAGAGAUAAUCUUAUACUAAAUAAAGUUAAGACCCCAUCAAGCUGUCAUACGCUUCUAUGCUUAAAAAUAUCACUCACGAAAGUAACUUUACACAAACAGAAUUUUUGACCUCACGACAGUUAAGACCCAAACUAGGAUUAG